rnacentral:rRNA from 1 species
AUUGAACGCUGGCGGCAGGCUUAACACAUGCAAGUCGAGCGGAGAUGAGGUGCUUGCACCUUAUCUUAGCGGCGGACGGGUGAGUAAUGCUUAGGAAUCUGCCUAUUAGUGGGGGACAACAUUCCGAAAGGAAUGCUAAUACCGCAUACGCCCUACGGGGGAAAGCAGGGGAUCUUCGGACCUUGCGCUAAUAGAUGAGCCUAAGUCGGAUUAGCUAGUUGGUGGGGUAAAGGCCUACCAAGGCGACGAUCUGUAGCGGGUCUGAGAGGAUGAUCCGCCACACUGGGACUGAAACACGGCCCAGACUCCUACGGGAGGCAGCAGUGGGGAAUAUUGGACAAUGGGCGGAAGCCUGAUCCAGCCAUGCCGCGUGUGUGAAGAAGGCCUUUUGGUUGUAAAGCACUUUAAGCGAGGAGGAGGCUACCUGGAUUAAUACUCUAGGAUAGUGGACGUUACUCGCAGAAUAAGCACCGGUUAACUCUGUGCCAGCAGCCGCAGUAAGAC